GGUUGUAGCUCAGGGAUAGAGCACUUGCCUUGCAUGUUUUAGACCCUGGGUUCAAUCCUCAGCACCA
rnacentral:tRNA from 1 species